ensembl:lncRNA
CCGCCGCCGCCUCCGUCAUCCACUCGCCGCAGCAGGCGGCCCUCGCCAAGCCCAAGCUCUGGUCGCUGGCCGAGAUCGCCACCUCGGCGGACAGGGCGAGGGAGGCGGGCGGCGAAACGGCGGCCCCCGGCCCCGCCGUGCUGGGAGGCGGCGGCCCCCCGCGCCCCUCUCCGCCGCGGCCCCGCUCGCCGUCCGCGCAGUGCCCCUUCCCCAACGGGGCGGUCCUGCCGCGGCCGCUCUACUACACGGCGCCCUUCUACCCCGGCUACACGAACUACGGCUCCUUCGGGGCCCUGCACGGGCACCCCGCCGGCGGGCCCGCCGCGCCCGGCGCCGCCUUCAAUGGAUUAAACCAGACUGUGCUGAGCCGGGCCGAGGGGCUGGGGAAGGAGCCCAAGGCGGCCAGGAGCCAGCCCCAGGCAGAGCUCGGCAAGGACUCGCCGUACGAACUGAAGAAAGAAAAAGAGCGUUAAUCUGCCCCAUCUCGGGGCCCGAGGAUCGGAGCGGAGGAGACAUUCACUGCAAGCACGUAGGGGAAUAAGGGUCUCGCUUUAUUGAAUCAUCAAAUCCCAGGAACGAAGCUCUUAAUUAAUUAUGGGUGCUAAAAAUUCAGGCCAGCUGCUACUUUUUACUCGGCUCUGACAGAGAAAGACAAAGUCUGCGGCGAGCUCCUCCGAGGCGCUCCGCAUAAAUCAGCGCUCCCGGCCCGCGGGGACAGAUGGCGCCUCGGCCCCGCGCCGCCCGCAUUCCUCCACCGCACCGCGGCGGUGCGGG